UGUGCCAGCAGCCGCGGUAAUACGUAGGGUGCGAGCGUUGUCCGGAAUUACUGGGCGUAAAGGGCUCGUAGCUGGUUUGUCGCGUCGUCUGUGAAAUUCCGGGGCUUAACUCCGGGCGUGCAGGCGAUACGGGCAUAACUUGAGUGCUGUAGGGGUAACUGGAAUUCCUGGUGUAGCGGUGAAAUGCGCAGAUAUCAGGAGGAACACCGAUGGCGAAGGCAGGUUACUGGGCAGUUACUGACGCUG
rnacentral:rRNA from 1 species